rnacentral:lncRNA from 1 species
AACUGUUGGAUUUCCCUAUCUGUACCUACCACCUGAUCUACUAGCAGAAAAUUGCCUCUUGGACCCUAGCUUCUGACAUGUUCUUUCUCCUUGCAUCUCCUACUCCAGACCUGUACACCUCCUUUUAGAGUGCAAAAAUAUAGAAAAAGGGAUGGAUGCUGACUCUUGAAUUGCAUAUUGUCCUACUGUCUAGUAGCUUGUUUC